AGAUGAAGAACUGAGGCUAUGUGUCUUAACAGCAAGAGCUUUCCACUGAACUUCAAGGGACUGCUUAGUCCUGGUUCUGUCACCAGUUAGAUGCAGUGAUCUUUGACAAAGUCAUAUGACUUGCCAGACCCUCCCCCAAGCCUGUCCCUCCCUAUCACCACAUCCCACUCUUUGCUUCACAGCAUCGAUCUCACCCUAUAUUGUUUUGGUCAUAGGCUGGCCUCUUUGUAUUAAGACUCUCCCACUAGCAUGUGAGAUCUAUGAGCAAGCUUGGCCAAGUUCCUUUCUCUCCGUCUCUGUAGGUUUCAUCUUGACCUCUUGUUCUUUCAGUAUCCUCCGGCAGCUCCUGGGGCCUAUCCUGAAGCUUAUGGUUUAACUAGAGAGAAAGUUCUCCUCUUUUCCAACAUUGAUAAAUAUAAAAUUCUGGGGGGGUGCCCGAUUGGCCCAGCUUGGGUGGUGCAUCUGCCCCUUGGACUGAUCACAGGGGCCUGAGGGAGGCAGAGGUGCAGUUGGCCUCCUCAUGAAAGACGCGGGCUGGUGGCAGAACCAAACCCAUGUUUUUUGUCUUCACUAGUCAGAAGGGACAAGGAGUGGCGAGCAGACGGGAGCAGCAGACACAACCAUAAGCACCUGUGAGGAAGCUGCACCAGGGUUUCUUCCAGGAGAGAGGUUGGCCUUGACAGGCUUAAGCCCCCUUUCAUCACUUGCAGUCUAGAACUGCUUGCAGAGUCAGGCCUCCCGACUUCACAUGUGGGACUCAGGUGUGGGCACAACUGCCCUGCAUCUGCCCUGUC
rnacentral:lncRNA from 1 species